ensembl:lncRNA
GUAAGAUUGUGCUCCUCAAAGAAAACUCAUACAGGCUUCAGAGUAAUUAAUGGCAGGAUGGACGCAGCGAGGUCAUAGAAAGUAAUAUAAAAUAUUCUUAAGAGAAGCUGACUUCAUCUGUGGCUGUCAUUGGCAGACUGGACUCUUCUUCAUCAGGAGGGAGGAGAUUUUCUCCGGCACACCCAGAUUAGGAGUUUAAAUGAGCUCUAGUAUGCACUGCAGAUGCUAUGAAACGCAGAAGAGAUGUUUUCCAGAAGAACCCAUUCGGUGAGCUCAGAAAAACAGCAGUCCGGAGCUGUUAUUUCCCAGCCGUCCCAGUUCUCCCUGGAGGAUGGAUGCAAUUUCCACACAGAAAACAACAUUUGGAUCUGCUGGAAGUGGAACAAAGCUCCAUAGAGAGCAUCAACAUGGUGCAUAAGUUCAUGAAUUUAAACAAUCCAGUAUAAAUGCUUGGUUUGACCUUUACGGUGCAGAAGAGUGACCCACAAACCCCAGCAGUGUCCUGGAUCAUGAGCUGUCUUCAGCAUCUGCUCUCAAACUCUUGCAGCAAAAGUAUCAUAAGUAUCUUGAGGGGCCUUCAAAUGCUGUCUUUGACAGUGAGGUGCCUCAGAGUCAGAAAGAUCAAGAGUUAUCUGUGGUGACACAAGCUUCACAAAUGAACAGUAAACCUCCAGAAAGAUCUGAAGAAUCUAAUGAAUUCAGCUGACGUUGGAGAACAUGUUCCUCCAGUUUAGCAUCUGAAAGGACUGUUCCUGUCUGAGGUGAGCGUGAACCCAAGGCCAGCUCCACAUGUGCUGUUUACGGCAGUGGAUUAGAGUUCAGAACAAGGCGUUCAUUGUGCAGGGAAUUACAGGGACAGCUGCAGGCAUUGACGCCCUGCGGGAUACUGACCCCAAACCCCAGAGAUUACCAGCGCCUGGCCCCCCGUCCAUGAUUGCUGCCUGACACGAGCCUGUGCACAAGUUUACAGCUGCUAUAAAUGUGAAGUUCAAAUAAAGAACCAUAAAACAAAAAGCUGUUUGUACUGGCAGCACAUUUUAACUAGCCCUCAUACACAGAUGAGCGGGUUCAUGCUACAUGUUAACCAGUCAUCCCAUAUCCCAC